rnacentral:misc_RNA from 1 species
AUCACCAUCACCAUCACCAUCAUCGUUGGUUAAGAGAAGUCCAUCUUUUCUUUGAUUCGACUGGUAACGGUCGAAGCACCCAACGGCUACAGACUCGCUAUUACUCUUCUUUCUCAAACUACCAAUGUCCAACGACCUCCUAGCAAACGACGUCGGACCAUUACUACUAUGAUUGUGGGAGCCAGAGGGAACGCGCUCGGACCCCGCAGUUGGUCUCUGCACCACAAUUUGAGGAAGGAAACCACUUGCCUUCUCGCCAGCGGAAGAGUGCCUACCCGAAAUUCUCCGACAUAUCUCAGAUUGGGUCUCUGCUUUCCUGCUCUCCACAUCCAACGACUCCGGAUCUUCUGGCGGUGGCCGUAAGUGGUUGCCAUGGAGGAUAUUGCUGGAGGCGUGGUCGAUCAAGAGAAUAUCUUCUGGGUCGACUCGGUAGCGGCAGAGAGGGCAGGUACAAUGGGCGUCGAGCCAAGUAUCAACGCAUUCGACAUGAAAAGCGUGCUUGCAUUUAGGAAGCAAUCUGAGAACCUCUGGGGGCUCGAACCUGGUCAAGCAAACAGCGCAUUCGAGGCCAUCCUUUUGGCCUCUGAGUGAGCUGAAUCGGAAUAUGGGUAGCGACUCAAUGACGGCCCGGUCAAUCCCUGAGUUCUUUCUGGCUGUAGAAGGUGCGUAUCCUGUCCGGCUGAUGGAAUCAGAGUGAAAACCAUUGUAAACGACGACGUUGCCACGCUUGCAGUGUUUGGUGUAGAGAAGCAGAAGCAAGGUAAUAGAAAACAUGGUGGUUAAGACGCCGACAACAACGGCAAUGCUGGGCUUGAAAGGUGAAGAGGAAUUAAGAAAAUCUGGAAAUGGGGGAGGGGACGGUGGACUGGAGAAGGAAGUGGUCAUAAAGGGAGCAUCAGGAGGAGGCGUUAUUCUUGAAUCAACGUCGGCAAAUAAAAGAGGAAAGAGAGAAAUUAAGUAGAGGAGGAAGAUAGAGGCGAAGAAGAAAGCGUUAUUGAAUUUGCAGAGAAGAAGCAUGCUAUGCGUGAUGCGAAAGAUCGAAAAUUUGGAAGGAAAAACA